GCCGGGAGUGGUGGCUCACACCUGUAAUCCCAGCACUUUGGGAGGCUGAGGUGGGUGGAUCACCUGAGGUCAGGAGUUCGAGACCAGCCUGGCCAAUAUGGUGAAAUCCCGUCUCUA
rnacentral:SRP_RNA from 1 species